rnacentral:rRNA from 1 species
GACGCCUAGUCUAGGCCGCGGUGGGGCAUCGUGGAUAAGGGAAUAAAUUCGGAUCCAGCCAUUCCGCGUGAGUGAGGAAGGCCUUAGCCAGCGUAAGUUAUUUUGUCGGGGACGAAGGAUUUCUUUCAUGAGCGCUAGACUAGUGACAGUACCCGAAGAAUAAGCCCCGGCUAACUCAUCUACGCAUUUCACUGCUACGUGCCAGCACGAGCGGUAAUACGUAGCAGCAAGCGAGUUCGGAAUUACUGGGCGUAAAGCGUGCGCAGGCGGUUUUGUAAGCCAGAUAGAAAUCCCCGGGCUUAACCUCGGAAUAGCAUUUGGGACUGCAAGGCUAGAGUAUGGCAGAGGAGACUCGAAUUCCCGGUGUAGCAGUGAAAUGCGUAGAUAUUCGGAGGAAUACCGAUGGCGAAGGCGGGUCUCUGGGUAAGUAUUGACGCUCAUGCACGAAAGCGUGGGGAGCAAACAAGAUUCG